rnacentral:rRNA from 1 species
CCUACGGGUGGCAGCAGUGGGGAAUAUUGCACAAUGGGGGAAACCCUGAUGCAGCGAUGCCGCGUGAGUGAAGAAGUAUUUCGGUACGUAAAGCUCUAUCAGCAGGGAAGAAAAACCGGCCUUAGGGCCGCCAGACGGUACCUGACUAAGAAGCCCCGGCUAACUACGUGCCAGCAGCCGCGGGAAUACGUAGGGGGCAAGCGUUAUCCGGUUUUACUGGGUGUAAAGGGGGCGUAGAAGGGAGCGCAAGUCGGGAGUGAAAUGCCGGGGCCCAACCCCGGAACGGCGUUGGAAACUGUGCAGCUGGAGUGCAGGAGAGGGAAGCGGAAUUCCUGGUGUAGCGGUGAAAUGCGUAGAUAUUAGGAGGAACACCAGUGGCGAAGGCGGCUUACUGGACUGUAACUGACGUUGAGGCUCGAAAGCGUGGGGAGCAAACAGGAUUAGAUACCCUGGUAGUC